AUUGAACGCUGGCGGCAGGCCUAACACAUGCAAGUCGAGCGGGGUUUUCGGACCUAGCGGCGGACGGGUGAGUAAUGCGUAGGAAGCUACCCGGUAGAGGGGGAUACCAGUUGGAAACGACUGUUAAUACCGCAUAAUGUCUACGGACCAAAGUGUGGGACCUUCGGGCCACAUGCUAUCGGAUGCGCCUACGUGGGAUUAGCUAGUUGGUGGGGUAAUGGCUCACCAAGGCGACGAUCCCUAGCUGGUUUGAGAGGAUGAUCAGCCACACUGGAACUGAGACACGGUCCAUACUCCUACGGGAGUCAGCAGUGGGGAAUAUUGGACAAUGGGCGCAAGCCUGAUCCAGCCAUGCCGCGUGUGUGAAGAAGGCCUUCGGGUUGUAAAGCACUUUCAGUAGGGAGGAAGCGUUGUGUGUUAAUAGUACACAGCGUUGACGUUACCUACAGAAGAAGCACCGGCUAACUCUGUGCCAGCCGCCGCAGUAAGAC
rnacentral:rRNA from 1 species